GACGAACGCUGGCGGCGUGCCUAAUACAUGCAAGUCGAACGCAGUGGGGACGGGUGAGUAACACGUGGGUAACCUCCCAUCAGAGGGGAUAACACUUGGAAACAGGUGCUAAACCGAUACUGAUGGAUGGACCCGCGGUGCAUUAGAUAGUGGGUGAGGUAACGGCUAACCAAGGCCACGAUGCAUAGCCGAGCUGAGAGGUGGAUCGGCCACACGGGGACUGAGACACGGCCCAGAAUCCUACGGGAGGCAGCAGGAGGGAAGCUGCGGCAAUGGACGAAAGUCUGACCGAGCAACGCCGCGUGGGUGAAGAAGGUUUUCGGAUCGUAAAACUCUGUUGUUAGAGAAGCGGUAUCUAACCAGAAAGCCACGGCUAACUACGUGCCAGCCGCCGCGGUAAUUC
rnacentral:rRNA from 1 species